UCCAAUAUCCCUGGCGUCAAGAAGCCUCCAAAAUGGUCUCUUUUCAAAAACAUGACAUGUUUGCUCAAUCAUGAACAGAGCGUCACCAAGAGAGCAAGCCAUUUUCAGCACAUCCGAUUGGUUUUUAGAUCGGUAGCUGACCAAUAGUACAGAUUGGUGAACCUUUCAUGAGAGUUAAGAGAUUUCGGCCCAACGCCAGCCAUAUUUUAGUUCACUAAAAGAGUAAAACUCAUGAUGACUCAGUAUGAUGCUGUACAUUUAAACUACAACCACGGCAAUUAACUUUUAAAUCAAUUGAACAUUAUUAUCUUUGUAAUGGUAAAAUAUUCAAUGCCACUCUUGUAUUGAAUAUUAACACCUUGCAUACAUGGUCAUAAUGUUGUGGCCAGUAGGUGUAUCUCUCUACCUGAGUGAAGACUCAUGGACCAACUCCUCAACAAAGAUUAUAAUACGGAGUGCUUUUGACUCUGAAUUUGGAGUGGUUUAAUUGGAGUAAGUCACCAUGGCAAUCUGUGCUGCAUGGCAACAGAUACCGUAUUUUCAUGACAAAAAGGUGCAUUUAGAAGGCUUAUAUGUUCUCCAAAAUGGACAGCUAAUAAGACAGGUCACCCCGUGUAUGCAGAGAGUUCCAAAUUGUGUGUUGAUGUAUGACUUCGAUGAGGGGUCCGCUUGAGUGGCUGAUACUGUGUCAACACCCUACUUGUAUGGAGGAAAAGCAGACGUAACUGAGGAUGGCAUGCAGACGUGAUGAAAUGACGCCAUGUAUGCAUCUGGACACGGACAACCGUGGUGCAGCAACAUCUGGCAGAUUACCGUAUUUUCACGACUAUUCGACGCAUCGUACUAAUGGCCGCAGUCUCAUUAAUGGGUGACAUUUCUGUAUUUUACACAUACACAGGACGCAUCGUACUAAUGGCCGCAGUUUUACAGUGGUAAAACAUAUGCCAGCUUAAACAUACGGCAUGCAUGCGCGCACUCUAACACGUUAGCUUGAAGCAUACGGUAGCAUGCCAAGACAUACAGAUAAGAUAAAAACACGUUUUUAAAAAGGCAACGAAAGCAGAACUGAGUUCGGGUGUAUUUUAUUUAGCCAUCGUACAAUGUUCUCACGUUUUUCGAUCAAUCAUCACCCAGAAAUCCAUCAAAGUCCUCAUCCUCUGUAUCAGAAGCAGAGGACUGCACAUCUCAGUUGUCAAUGAAUGCAUCACAUGCCAGUGUGAGUUGCUACGCAUUGCCGAGCGGAAAGAAGGAGUAGCAACAGCAAAGUCAACAUUUCUCUCGUGUGAAGCUUUCCCACAUUUGAAAGUAAAGAACAGAGCGAAACAUGGUGGCAGCGCGUGUGUGUGUAGAAAGAAUUGAACAAUUGUGCAAGUACCAUAAUCCAUCAAAAACGCCGCGUUCCCUCUCGUUGUUGCAGUCACUCUCAUUGCCAUGUGGCUCCACAGAAAUGAUGCCGGCUUUGCCAAAAACUCGAACAACAGUGCAAGCAGACACGUUCGUCCAAGCAGCCACAAUCCAUUCGCAAAUUGUGGCGUAACUCGCCCAGCGCUGCCUCUCACUCUUUGUAAAGUUGUGUUUGCCAUCGAUCAUCCAUUGUUCCCAUGCCGUUCGCAACUUUACUUUGAACGCCCGGUCGCAACUUUACUUUGAACGCCCGGUUGAUGCCGAUGUCCAGCGGUUGGAGUUCUUUAGUCAAGCCUCCGGGAAUAACGGCAAGCGCAGAGUUCAUUUGCUUGACUUGGUUUUUCACUGCUGCUGUGAGAUGGGCACGCAUGCCAAAAGCAUAACCGAUGGCUUGAAGUUUGAACUGAGCUUCGUAGGCGUGUCUCUUUGUAAAAUUUAUUUUCGGGUGUUCUUAGAAACCAAAACCGAAGUUGUUUUGCAACAAUGCACAUAGCCGCACUCUAUACAGGUGUUGGUACCUGCUUCGGGCGUCCCUUUACCGUCCACUUACACGCCCACCCUUCACUGAUUGGCCAACGUCUUUGCCGCAUGCCUGUCCGCAGUCACUUCCGCCUUUUCUCUAUAUAAACAGCGUGUCGGCUGUCAGUGAGGUUUUGGAACUCAGUGCAUACACAAGACGCUCCGCAUCAUAAGGCGUCCUGUCCAUUUUGGAGAAAAUUUAAGACUUUUAACGGCGCCUUGUAGUCGUGAAAAUACGGUACUAGCUUACCUUAGAUGUGCACUUUAUAAUGUUAUAUUGUUCUGUUUUGAUUUCAUAAAAAAGCUUUUAAAAAAGCUGUUAAAGCAGCUGUUGUGUGAUAAAAUAUUUUUUUCACUGUUGUUGAUGGACAGUAAUAUUGUGUGAGAGAUUAUUUGUGAAUAACUGCUCCAAGUGAAAAAUGUUCAUGUAAAAUUCAUUCAUUCAUUCAUCUUCCGUACCGCUUGAUCCUCACUAGGGUCGCGGGGGGUGCUGGAGCCCAUCCCAGCCGUCUCCGGCCAGUAGGCGGGGGACACCCUGAAUCGGUUGCCAGCCAAUCGCAGGGCACACAGAAACAAACAACCAUUCGCACUCACACUCACACCUAGGGACAAUUUAGAGUGUUCAAUCAGCCUGCCACGCAUGUUUUUGGAAUGUGGGAGGAAACCGGAGCACCCGGAGAAAACCCACGCAGGCCCGGGGAGAACAUGCAAACUCCACACAGGGAGGCCGGAGCUGGAAUCGAACCCGGUACCUCUGCACUGUGAAGCCGACGUGCUAACCACUUGGCUACCGGGCCGCCCCUUCAUGUAAAAUUGAAAAUCGAAAUUGUUAUUUCAGUACAUAUUUGAAUUUGGCACAUAGAAAACUGAUUCAUGAUUCCGUGUUGAUAAGAGAAUUAAAAAGUGGAAAAAUAGGACAAAAAAUGUAAAAGGAAAUUCAGAAACGAUAAAACAUAUGUGAGUAAUCAUGAUUAAUUUUUAGUUCAUUAGAGUUAAUUAUGACAGUUGCAUUUUUAAUUAGAUUAAAUAUUUUAAUCGUUUGACAGCUCUAGUUUUGACUAGUGGGGUCGCAUAGAACAUUUUCUUGAAAAUGACAAUUUUGGGUUGACUUCCCUUUUAAGGUACUCUUUUUUAGAAACUGAAAUAUGGUCAACAUUUACUACAUAUGAGACGCAGAAUUGCUGCUACUGCUGUUGAAAUAUUGCUUAAUAAAUGGUGUGCACGACGUUAAGCCCUGUCUGGAUAUGUGAAAUAGAGGCAAGACAAGGAGAGACAAUGGAAGGGACAGAAGGCACUGUAAAGGCAGAUUGGAAGAGACAGACCACCCCAGACUCUAAGACUUUGUGAGAGUCCAUCAGCUGCAUGCAUAUUCAUGUAGCACUGCGCAAAUUCCUCUGAUGAGGCAGCUGCCAAGGUCACCAGAGAUUACUGAGACCAUGACUAAACAGGCCAUCCAUGGAGCAAGCCCCCCUACCCACCGCAACACCUCGCCGCAGCCUCCAACCAUCCCAUCCAAUUCAACGGCUGAGUGCAGUAACAUACCAACAAGUUUCCCCUCUCUCGAUGAUCUGUGAGUAAGUGAGGCGGACUGAAUAUUUGAAUUUUGAUGAGGGUGCGCAUAACAAUGAGGGUUGGAAUGAUAUGACAAGACAGAGACUUUUGUAGCUUCAUUGCCACCCAGCAUUUUAUAUGACAGAAAAGGAGGGCCAUUUUCCAGAUAUCAAAAAUGAACAUCUAACGCAUUCACGUCAAUUUUAAUUAUUAAUUGCCGAUUUUAGACAAGUCCCUUACAAGUGUAACAAAUGCAUUCAAUUAAGCAUUGUGUAUUACAGCUCCUAACAGUACUUGUAAAGGCCAAUAUGCUGAUCCACUCUCGCCAACUUGACUGUUAUUUAAAGCAUAGCAAACUCGCACCAGCACCACCUUUUCACGGAUAACCAGAAGCAAUUCGUUUACGAAUGUGAUUUCACUUUAGUUUACAUAUUUAAAUGCUCAGAUAUUAAGAUUUGAAUGAGGCAAAAUAACAUGCUUUUUCUCUCAAAUAUGUUGUGAUAAUAAUU